rnacentral:lncRNA from 1 species
AACUUAGUAUCACGAUACAUCAUGGCAAGAAAACUAAACAUGAAGCAGACUUCCUUUUCUGAGGAUAACAGUCCUAAUGUUGGAAAUAAACAACCUUAUGUUGUCAAACAGAGUAGCAUUUGUUUAACGUAACAUUGGUUCUUAGAGGACCAUGGAGUUAAGUCUGCUUUGUGUUUUUUUUUGUCUUGGAAAACAGUUUUGUGAGAACAUUUGUUUUGACGUCACUCAUAUCACUAUGUCAGGUCCCAUGCUUGAGAAAACACAGAAGUAGACAGAACUAGAAGUCUAAUGUAAAGCUAAGUCACAGUAACAUCCAUGGGUUAAUGAGAGUAUUAAUCUACUACGAUGUCACUAAAGGGUCAUUGACAUCCAGAAGACUAUAUGUUGAGAAUACAAAGCUGUUACCUGUAUAAUUGACCUGCCUGAACUCUGUCAGUCUUUGGGACCUAGAUAUCCUUGAAACCCCUUGGAUAAAUUUAUAAAGAUAUCACACUAUUGUUAUGUCACAUAAGAUACUAAGUAACACCACAUUAAAGAUAAUCAAAUGGGUGAUUUCAGUGAGAUUGGAUGAUGAAUAAUUAAGAGUUGAGUGUUGCUUUCUGAAAUAUAUUUUAAGGUAAUUUCAGAAUUUAUUGAACAGAUAGAGAGAGAGAAUGACAGUGGGGUUGGCCAUUUGAUUAGUUGUUCAGCAGUCUUAUGGCUUGGGGGUAGAAGCCGUUAAGGAGCCUUUUGGUCAUAGACUUGGCGCUCCAGUACCGCUUUCCAUGCGGUAGCAGAGACCUGUUUUGUUCCCCCCUCCCUCAAUCUACACACAAUAAUGACAAAGCAAAUCAGGUCAAUAUAAUACAGAAAUAUCACAUUUACAUAAGUACUCAGAACCUUCACUCAGUACUUUGUUGAAGCCCCUUUGCCAGCGAUUACAGCCUUGAGUCUUCUUCGGUAUGACGCUACAGGCUUGGCACACCUGUAUUUGGGGAGUUUCUCUGCAGAUCCUCAAAAAGCUCUGUCAGGUUGGAUGGAGAGCGUUGCCGCACAGGUAUUUUCAGGUGUCUAACGAGAUGUUCGAUCGGGUUCAAGUCCGGGCUCUGGCUGUGUCACUUGUCGUGGAAAUUGAAAGACUGUUAUAAUGCUUGUAUUGCAUUAUAAUGGUUGUUUUAUGCGACAGGAUAGAGUAUUCUGUUAACUAUUGUGUGUGUGUUCUACUGAGGAGGGCCUCUGAGAACACUGACAGGGGAGAUUUGAUGUCUUUGGGUGAUAAAACCUAAAGAUCAUUCCAGAGAACACGAGGUAAUGGUUCUGUUCUAUACCGUACCAGGGAGAGACGGUUCCAGUUUGGAGUAUUAGGACCAGACAUUGGUCUUUACAAUGAAGUAGAUACCUUUCAUACAAAUCUUAACCUUGUGACCUUUCUAUGUAUCCAUUGUUCGUCAUGUAAGUUGAGAGGGGUGUAUCUUGGCUAUAAAAUAUCUUUGUACUUUUGUGUUGUCACUUUCAAUGGUUCAUUAGAAAUGGCGCAUCAUUGAAAGUUGAUUGCUAUUGCAAAGCUCUUAUUAUUAAAAAUGUAGUUUAAGUAUAACUCUGACUGGUGUGGGAAGUUUGUUUCUCCUCAUUUGGUAAUACAGAAAUUAGCCACCACACACUCAAGGACAUUUAGCGACUUGUCCCAAAGCCACUCCUGCAUUGUCUUGGCUGUGUGCUGAGGGUAGUUGACCUGUUCGAAGGUGAACCUUCGCCCGAGUCUGAGGUCCUGAGAACUCUGGAGGAGGUUUUCAUCAAGGAACUGUCUGCAC